UAACGCGUAGAUAUCUGCCUCGAGGCCCGGGAUAGCGGCGGGAAACUGCCGGUAAUACCGGAUAACAUCUCCGGAUCAAAGGUGUGAUUCCGCCUCGAGAUGAGUCUGCGUCCUAUUAAUGCUUGUUGGUGUGGUAACGGCGCACCAAGGCGAAGAUGGGUACCGGGUGUGAGAGCAUGGCCCGGCUCACUGGGACUGAGACACUGCCCAGACACCUACGGGUGGCUGCAGUCGAGAAUCUUCGGCAAUGGGCGAAAGCCUGACCGAGCGACGCCGCGUGCGGGAUGAAGGCCCUCGGGUUGUAAACCGCUGUCAGUAGGGAGCAAAUCUCUUGGGGUUAUCCCCUUGAGUUGAGCAAUCUUCAGAGGAAGUACGGGCUAAGUUCGUGCCAGCAGCCGCGGUAAGACGAACCGUACGAACGUUAUUCGGAAUCACUGGGCUUAAAGAGUCCGUAGGCGGCCGUGUAGGUGGGAUGUGAAAGCCCUCGUCUCAACCGAGGAAUUGCGUUCCAAACCACAUGGCUUGAGGAGGAUAGAGGUGAGCGGAACUGAUGGUGGAGCGGUGAAAUGCGUUGAUAUCAUCAGGAACACCAGAGGCGAAGGCGGCUCACUGGGUCCUUUC
rnacentral:rRNA from 1 species